AUUGAACGCUGGCGGCAGGCCUAACACAUGCAAGUCGAACGAGUGGCGGACGGGUGAGUAAUGUAUGGGAAACUGCCCGAUGGAGGGGGUAACUAAUGGAAACGUUAUCUAAUACCGCAUACCCUAGGAUGGGCCCAGCUGGGAUUAGCUGGUAGGUGGGGUACAGGCUCACCCAGGCGACGAGCCCUAGCUGGUCGUAGAGGAUGACAAGCCACACUGGAACUGAGACACGGUCCAGACUCCGACGGGAGGCAGCAGUGGCGAAUAUUGCACAAUGGGCGCAAGCCUGAUGCAGCCAUGCCGCGUGUAUGAAGAAGGCCUUCGGGUUGUAAAGUACUUUCAGCGAGGAGGCGUUACUCGCAGAAGAAGCACCGGCUAACUCCGUGCCAGCAGCCGCGGUAAUAC
rnacentral:rRNA from 1 species